AGACAAAAAUCGGACAGCAUACACUUUCCUUCCUCUAGCUUUCUUUCCAACUUUUUCAACUCAAACUAUACCAUAUCUCAUCAAAGCAAGUAACAAACAAGCAAAUAAACACACAAAAUCCUCAAGACCUCUACCUAUCAACCCACCUCAAGUCCACUACCUAGUGUCAAGGUUCAUAGAAUCCAUCAACAACCCAACUUAACUAGUUACAACUAACUAAAAACUAACCAUAAGAUGGAAGGAAAAUAAGAGAUUUGAGAAUUACCUUCCCUCACAAGAAAUCAGGUUCUAAAUCACCAAGAAUCUCUCCCCCUUCAAGUUUUCUGCUAAGCUUGAGGAUGAUCCAAGAGAAUAGGCUAGGUUAGAGCAAGAUUUAGAGAGCAAAAAGAAAGAAGAUGAAGCUGAAAUUUCCUUGGCAAAUGGAGGAAGAAGAUUCGGUCAAGUGAGGAGAAAAAGAGAUUGUUUUUGUGAGCUUUUGUGGUGACGUAUAGGCUGGAAUGAAACAUAAGAAACUCUAACUAAUUACUAGUGGUAGACAAGAAUAAUUUGAAUUGGUUUCUCUAAGCUUCACAUAGAGAACAAUCGGAAGUGCUAGUAAGUGAUAUAGCAUUUUUAAUUCCUAAUGAAAGACAUAAUAAGUAGUCAUAAUGAAAGUGCUAGUAAGUGGUAUAGCAUUUUUAAUUCCUAAUGGAAGACAUAAUAAGUAGUCAUAAUGAAAGUGCUAGUAAGUUAUACCAUUAUUGGUUCUAAUGGCAACCAAAAACACAUGUGAUAGUUCAAUCCUCUUUUGGUUUCACGUACGAGCUAAUGCCAUUCGUAGGAAAUUUUGAUUUCUAAUAAGUACUAGUAGUUCCUUUUAGUUUCUCACUAGAAUGGAAAAUGCAAAAUUUUGUUUCUUGCACCUAUUAGGCAUUUACAUGCAUUCAAGCAAAUGUUUUCUACAUUUUUUUUAAACAAAUGCUAACUAAUCAAAUGCUAACUAAUACCAAGAUUUAAUGGUGUAAGUGAUACUAUUUCUAAAAUAUUACCUGUUUAUUUAUAUAUUAAAAAAUAAAUAAUUAAACAUGUAAAAAAAUUUAUCAGAUCCUUACAUCCUUCCCUCCUUAAAAGAAUUUCGUUCUCGAAAUUUAUACCUUGAUUUAUAAAUAAUUCUGGAUAUUUCUUUCGGAUUUCCUUUUCGACUUCCCAAGUCGCUUCCUCGAUUCCGUGAUUCCUCCAUAAGACCUUCACUAGAAGGAUUUGCUUGUGUCUUAACUCCUUCACUUUUCGAUCUAAAAGUUUUACCGGCCUUUCCUCAUAUGAUAAUUUCUCAUCAAUUUUCACUUCUUCUGGUCGUAACACAUGGGACGGGUCCGAAUGAUAUUUCUUAAGCAUGAAAAUAUGGAAGACAUCAUGAAUUCUGGAUAAGUUCAAGGGUAAUUUCAACUUAUAAACCACGUUUCCUAUGCGUUGGAUGACUUUAUAAGGCCCCACAAAUCUCGGUUGUAGCUUCUUUCCUUUUCCCGUCAUUAGACUUGCUUUCAAAGGUGUAAUCUUAAGGAACACUUUAUCCUCAAUCUCGAAUUCCAAAUCUUUCCUCUGAUUAUCCGCAUAACUCUUUUGGCGGCUUUGAACUGUUUGAAUUCUUUGACGUAUCAACUUUACCUUCUCAAAAGCUUUCUCAAUCCAAGACAAUGUAGUCGGGUCCAAAAUCUUCAUUUCUCCAAUUUCAUCCCAAUAAAUCGGUGACCGACACUUUCGACCAUAAAGGGUUUCGUAAGGAGCCAUUUGUAUUAAAGAAUGAAAACUAUUGUUAUAAGCAAAUUUCACCAACGUAAGGUACUGACUCCAAUUUUUCCCAAAAUCUAAACUACACAACCUCAACAUGUCCUCUAGGAUUUGGAUUGUUCUUUCCGAUUAUCCAUCGGUCUGCGGAUGGUAGGUGGUACUACAAUUCAAUUUAGUUCCUAAAUUUCCUUGCACCUUUUGCCAAAAUCGAGACACAAAUCUAGGGUCCCGAUCUGAUACUAUACUCACUGGUAUCCCAUGCAAUCGUAUAAUUUCGUCCAAAUACAUCUUAGCCAAUUUUUUCAAGGAAUAUUUCAUACUAAUCGGUAAAAAGUGAGCAGAUUUAGUCAACCGAUUCACUAUUACCCAAAUAGUAUCGUGCCCUUUUUAGAUACUUCGUAGUUCUGAUACGAAAUCCAUAGUGAUAUUCUCUUAUUUCCACUCAGAAAUUUUCAACGGCUGUAAUAAUCCAGAUGAUUUCUGAUGCUCGGCCUUAAUCUGUUGACAAGUGAGACAAGCUCGAAUAAAUUGAGCAAUUUCUCUCUUCAUAUUCUCCCACCAAUAAAGGUUCUUCAAAUUUUGAUACAUCUUAUUACCUCCAGGGUACACCGUGUACUUAGAACGGUGAAUUUCUUCCAAAAUUUCCUUCUUUGGCACCACUAGAUGAUUUCUAAACUUUAACACUCCAUUGGUCCCCAAAUUAAAGUUAGACUUUUCCCCUUUCUGAAUUUUCUCAACCAUUUUUGCACUUCAGGGUCUCCUUUUUGAGCUUCUUUGAUUCGAUCUAACAAAGUAGACCUCAUAGUAAUAUUUUCAAAAAUUAUCCUCUGUGGUUCAAGGCGCGGAUUUCAAACACUAACUUCCUCUAGUAUGUGCCAUUCUCUUACCAUUAAACUGGCCACUUGUACCUUACGACUUAGGGCAUCCGCUACAAUAUUAGCUUUUCCAGAGUGGUAAUUAAGUGUACAGUCAUAAUUUUAUAAAAAUUUCAUCCAUCUCUGUUAUCUCAAAUUUAAUUCCUUUUGAGAGAAUAAAUAUUUAAAACUCUUAUGAUCAGUGAAAACCUCGAAAGUCACCCCAUAUAGGUAAUGUCUCCACUUUUUCAAGACAAAUACCAUCGCCGCUAACUCCAAGUCAUGGGUCGGAUAAUUCUGCUCAUGAGGUUUCAAUUUACGGGAGGCAUACGCAAUCACUAUUUUGUUUUGCAUUAACACACACCCUAAACCAUCCUUUGAAGCAUCUGUAUAAACCAUGAAACCAUCACCUCCAUUCGGCAAUACUAAUAUAGGUGCCUCGGUCAAACACUUCUUCAGCUCUUGAAACCCUUUCUCGCAUUUAGAAUCCCAUAUAAACUUGUCAUGUUUCUUAGUCAACUCGGUUAGGGGUUUCACGAUUUUAGAAAAGUUCUUGAUAAAUCGGCGAUAAUACCCCAUUAACCCUAAGAAACUCCGGAUUUUGGUAGAAUUUUCUGGUUGUUUCCACUUAGAAACAGCUUCUAUCUUAGCUGGAUCCACAGUAAUCCCUUCAUUAGAGAUUAUAUGACCUAGAAAGACUACUUCUUCCAACCAAAACUCGCACUUAUUGAAUUUAGCAAAAAGUUUAUGCUCUCUCAGGGUUUGCAAGACUAUCCUCAGGUGUCGUUCAUGAUCUUCUCGAGAUUUAGAAUAUACCAAUAUGUCAUCAAUGAAUACCACCACAAAUUGAUCUAAAAAUGAUUUAAAGACCUGAUGCAUCAAGUCCAUAAAUGCUGCUGGUGCAUUAGCUAAUCCAAAAGGUAUAACUGCAAAUUCAAAAUACUCAUAUCUCGAAUUGAAAGCGGUUUUAGGCACAUUUGCUUCUAAGAUCCUCAAUUGGUAAUAGUCCUGUCUUAAAUCCAAUUUAGAAAAUACCACGGCCCCUUGCAACUGAUCAAAUAACUCAUCUAUGUGAGGUAAAUGAUAUUUGUUCUUAAUUGUCACAUUGUUCAAGUUUCGAUAGUCUAUGCAUAACCUCAAACUUCCAUCUUUCUUUUUAACGAAGAGCACCGGAACUCCCCACGGUGAAUCACUUUCUCUAAUAAAAUUUCUUUCUAAUAAAUCUUACGACUGCAAUUUCAACUCUUUUAAUUCCGCUGGAGCCAUCCUGUAAGGCGUCUUAGAGAUAGGUGCUGUCCCCGGAACUACAUCAAUCUUAAACACUAUUCCUCUCUCUGGAAGCAAUGUCUCUAAUUCUUUGGGAAAGACAACAGAAAAUUUCUCCACUACUGGCACAUUUUCCAACUUCACCUUAUUCCCAGGUGUAUUUAUAAGAAAUGCUAGAUAUCCCUUAACUCCACUAUUCAACAAUUUUCUAGUUCGAAUCCCUGAAAUCAGAGCAGAUGAUACUAGUUUACCCCUCACAUCUAACUCCAAAGUUGCUUCCACUGGAAUGCGCAAUUCUACUAAUUUCAUCUUAUAAUCCAAUUGAAUAUGAUAUCGAGCUAACUAAUCCAUCCCAAGUAUCACAUCAUAUCCCUUAAUUGUUAGGUUCAUUAAAUCCACCAAUAAUUUUCUCUCACCAACCCAAAUCUCACAAUUUUUAUAAACCUUAUUAAUAAUUAGGCACUGGUCCCCUGUAGGAGUCUUAACUUCCAAAUCAAAAGGUAAGAAAUUACACUUUGCAUUUAUACCAUUCAUAAAGUUAGGAUCUACGAAUGAAUGGGUUGCUCCGGGAUCAAUUAAAACCCUAGUUAGACGAUGAAAAACGGGGAUCGUACCUUCCACUACUUCAGUUGGAUUUGGAAUUUGCUGAUUGUCUAGAGCAUAAAUCCUAGUUGGUACUUUAGGUCGGCUCCUUCCGGCACUCAACUGCUUUGAAGCGGACCUACCAAAUUCUUGAGUAUUUCUUCCUUCCUUUGAGGCAUUAGGGCAACUCGAGAUCUAAUGCUCUGUACUACCGCAGAGGAGACACUUUUCUUACUUUCUCCAGCACUCGGUCUCAGUGUGGUUAGACUUGCCACAAUAUCCACAAAUCACACGAGGAGUCAUGGUCUGACCAGUUUGAAAACUCCCUUUUUGCUGAUCUCGCCCACUCUAAUUUCCUUUUGGCGAGACUCCCUUUGAUGGAGCUCCUCCUAACUUUCCGGGCAACCUCAUUGCUCCAACCCCUCUUCCUAUCUUAAAGGGUAAGGUAGGUUUUUCGGACUGUCCAGAGAUAUUAUUUGGGUUACCCCUCUUUCUAACAUGAAAGGUUUUGGAUUGAGAUUUAGUAUUUUCUACCCUUUGUGCCUUAUCCAAGGCAUCUGCAAAAGUGGUGAUCUGGGCGGCUACUAGGGAUUCUUGAAUUUUUACGUUUAAUCCUUGAAUGAAUCUCCUUAUCCUUUUGUGCUCCGUGACCACUAGUUCAGGGGCAAAUUUGGAAAGUUUAGUGAACCGUUCCUCGUACUCAGCCACACUUAGUAACCCUUGUUUCAACCUAAUAAAGUCAUCCUCCUUCUUUUCUUGUAUCAUAGGUGGAAGGAAUUUGACAUUAAACUCCCUUUCAAAGUUUGCCCAAACCCAGGGAGUUUGUUCUCUCUCCCAUUUCGCCCUAAUAACGUUUCACCAUACGCGUGCCAUUCCCUCAAACUGAAAAUAGGCGAAAUUCACUUGCCUCUCCUCGGCAUAAUCCAGGGCGGCAAAAAUCUCCACCAUCCUCUCAAACCAAUUUUUUGUAGCUUCUGGAUUAGGUCCUCCGUAAAAUUUAGGUGGGACGAAAUUCAGGAGGCGCUCUAGAGCUCUAUUUUCACCCCUCUCUUAGUUUCUAGGUUAGUUGACCGGUUCAGGACCUUGGCGUUCAGCCAGACGCUCAAGAACAUCAGUUAUGCGAUUAAGACCCAUAGCCACUUGGUCACUCCCCUCCGUCCUAAGACUUUGGUUCGGACCAAUUACUGAUCCCUCACCUCUCUCGGGAGUGCGGGGUUGCCGACGCCCACGCCCACGUUCUCGCCGAUCCAUUUAGCAAGAGUCUAAAUGCAUAAUUAAAAGAGAAAAUGAAAUAAAAUAAUUAAGCAUAGAAAUUUUUAAAACAUAUGAAAGUUAUAAAAACACUUGAAAUAAAAUCAUAAUUCUUUACACAAUUAAAAUUCAUGCUACAAAUCAAGAGUUCAUAAAACUAGUCAAUAAUGUCAAUUACAGCACACGGGGAUCUAAGUACCUCAAAAUAUGGGAUUACAUGCAACAAAAUACAAAAGGUUUUAAGGCGAGAAUCAUCGCUUCUAAAUUCUUAGCAAAAUCAAAAGAUCAAAAGGUCACUAGCUUAAGUGAACCGUACUAGUAAACCCCAACUAUCCUUGAUAAAACUACUAGUUUAGUGAUUGGCAGAGUCAGAAGUCUCGGCUACUUCAGUAGGUUCAACCUCGUCUUCAGCGCUAGGAGUUGUUUUCUCCUGUCCCUCAUCAAGUAUUUUGCCAUCAACUACUUGUUCAACCAAAGUUACCCACUCAGCCAUCAUUCCCUCAGUUCGGUCCCUUAUCUCUUGAACUACCUUAACGAGUCGUCGAUUAGCCUUUUGAAGCUGCUCACGCAGGGCCUCUACUCUAUUUCACUCUUCGAGUACAUUCGUCUCCAGCUCAUGAAUCCUAACGGUCUGUGAAUCCACUGUUGCCCUCAACCCUCGAUUAUCCUCUUGAGUUAUCUUAUUUGCAUUUGACAAUUGCAUCCGAUCAUUGAUUACCGAUAGUACUACAUAGUUAGGGUAUGAGGAAAUCCUCCUACAAUCGCAUGAAGGUCUAGUUCGACGAAUAGGAUUCCAUCGCCAAAGAGCGUCCCUAGGUCCCAGUCGAUAACGAAUUACUGGAAGGCGCCUCGGAGACGACUAAUUUCCACUAUUUCCUUUCAUGACCUACAAUUACAAUUUAAGACUUAGACAAAUUCAAAUACACUUAAUAAACUAGAUUCUAAUAUUUCAUACUGUCUCAAAUACUAUUCAUAAGAUUAAAACUCCAAGUUUGUCCAAACUAAUUCAAACCUAGACUCUGAUACCAACUGUGACGCCCCCACUUCUCCCUAAGGCAAACCCUAGGGUAUCAGCGAGACGUCUGUCCAACUCUCGUCAGGACUCACACACUUAUUCAGGCUUAAAAGGAAUCCACAAGUCAACCAUAGAUUUAGAAUUAAAGAAAUUCUUCAAAUAUACAAGUCACAACUUCUAAAACAACCAUUUAUAAUUACAAACCAAAGUCCUCAAAUAUAACAAAAUUUACACUUCAGAAGUCUCCAAUAUCAUACAUAGGAUUUUACUAGUUUCGAUCAAAAGUUGCUAGUCUAAAUUCCUCAACUUUCACUUCCAAGACCUGUUAAGGAAAACAAACUUGGGAUGAGCUAACGCUCAGUGAGGCCAAGAAAAUUAAACAAGCAAGCAAGUAGCAUAGUUGAAAACAGUUUUAACAUGAACUUUCAUAUAAGUGUACAAGUAGGAAAUAAACACACAUGGAAUGAUACAAGAGCUCUCAAGAGCUAUUUUCACGUCUCGACCGAUUCAAACCAUCUGGGUUGACUUUCCAUCAACUCAAGUAGUAUCAUGACCGUAGCGCUCCACUUACUCCCUCCAUCCAACAUAACACCCAAUUGGAUCCGGAACCAAACAUUCAUAUAGUGGCUAUACUAUUCGAGUAUGCCAAGCGAGAUUUCAAAAGAUCAAACUAUAUCAUUUUCCAAGGUUUACCAGGCUUCUCGACCAAGCCCUUGCUGGCUCCAGUUACAAGGUUAGCCAAUGGGUUGGGGCAUCCCCGCCAGCAUGAUUUAUCGAUGAGACCACGCUCCAAUCAACUCAGACUCGUUCAUAGCACUGAGUCGGGAUGAACGGUACCUCCCACCCAAAUAGGGUGUGAUACAUUCUACCGCUCAAUGCUCACGAGUUAAAAUAUUUUCAAGUACAAGUGCAAGUCAUAUAUAAUCAUUUGACAAUUAUCAUUCAUUCACAAGAGAAAGAGGACGAGGGCGGUAAAGUACACCCUCGCCUUGGCAAGUUCACGUAUCAUAUAACACUUGUAUAAUAUCAUUUCAAUCAUAUUAGCAUUGAACAUGCACUUGACACUCACCGAAAUCAAGAAUGUAAAGCAAGAGCAAGGCAAGAUCAAACGAGCUCCUCAUGAUUCUCUUGAUCACCUGAGACAUGCACAAUUACAAAUCACUUAGGUAUUCAACCAAGAUCUAGUAGUAUUCCUACUACUAACUUAAGAGAUAAUACGUUCAAAUCGAAGACAAUUAUCACUUACUAACUUAAUCCACGAGGAUAGCAUUUGAAAAUAUCUAAAAAUGCAUUAAUUCAAGUCAAAUCAAGUCCAAGAUUCUCCAAUUUGAGGUUUAAGCAGAUCGCUGAGUUUUGGUACGAAAAUCGAAAAAUAUGGAAGAUUAUUUUCUUGUCAAAAUUUCCUAGUUAAACGCCCAAGUACAAGUCUUGACUGCUUUAAUUAAGAUAACUUGUUAAAAGUGUAAAAGUUUGAGGAAAUGAGAGAUACAUUAGUGAGAGAAGUCCAAUAAAAAUACAUUUGAAAUCAAGGUAGUGAAAAAAAAAAUAAUCAAGGUAAGAGGUUGGAAGUUCGAGAUUUUUAAAGUCCAGAAGCCCGUUUCUAUGCUUCAGGAAUCUACUGAGAUGAAUAGUAACAGUAACUUUAAAAAUUUGCAAAUCAAGUUUCACAAGUCAAAAAAUUAUGAAAGUUUAUACCGUUGGAAAAUAGAUUUUUAGUACUACCACAUCCCAGAAGACACUUUUCAAAUAUUCAAAUCACAAGUAGGCCCAAUAUUCGAUCCAAAUCAAAAAUUCAUUUCCUGAAGGAACAGGACAUUCAAGCAGGACAGUCUACUUUGAGGAGUCAUGGACAGUAGUACACAUGGAGGAAAAACAUGAAACUUUUACAGAACAAAGGCCCAUGAGUCUAGUUUCAAAUUCCGCUGACGACAUAUCAAUCGGAUUUUUCUACACCAAGAUAUAAGUAUUUUACUGAGACUAGUCAGUGAAAUUCGAAAAUCUGGAAACUCAUUUUUUCACUUGGAAAAACUCAUUUUUCUCUUUUAAAAACACAAGACUUUAUUCAAACCACCCAUACACUUAAGUAUGACAUUUAUACCAACAAUUAAAACUCCAGAUCUAUUUUCAAAUGCAACCAAUGCAACUUAAUUUGGACCUUUCUACAUCAAGAUACAACAUUUCAAAGAAAAUUGAUUUUUAGAACCUGUUUUUACGAAAUUCCAGUUCUGUCAUACUUGACAGAGUUUAAGAAUCUGAUCAUAACUAAAGCUACGCAACUCGAAAUUUAGUGUGGUUUGCGGCGUUGAAAACUAGAUUCAAAAUGCUAAAAUCACUAGAAGGAACUAUCAUGAAAUUCGUUUUGUAAGAUAGACAAAAUUGAGCUACAAACUGUACCUUUGACUAUUUCUCGGAUGCAAGCAGUGAAGAAUUUCAGUCAUUUUUGCCGGUUCACUACGGCUCAUAAGAAACGAGUUAGGGGUCGCAUUUUAUACCAACGGAAAGUUCUCAAAAUCUAGUUUCGGAUGCCAUAAACGGCACUCUAUUUCAACUCCCAGAUAGAGAGUUAUAACAAAAAAUGUAAACACUGGUUGGGAUUUCCUGCUCAGAAAAUUUCGAGAAUUCAACCUCACUUUAACCCUAUUUUAACACAACCACAGGGAAAGCUUUUUUUUUUUUAGGAGAUAUUUCAUAUGCAUAACCACCAACAUGUAUCAAGUAUUAUUGCACCAAAAUAACAUCAAAAAUUAGAAAUUAACAUGAAGGCUUCAACAAGACAAAAAAAUCGGACAACAUACACUUUCCUUCUUCUAGCUUUCUUUCCAACUUUUCCAACUCAAACUAUGCCAUAUCUCAUCAAAGCAAGUAACAAACAAGCAAAUAAACACACAAAAUCCUCAAGGCCUCUACCUAUCAAGCCACCUCAAGUCCACUAGCUGGUGUCAAGGUUCAUAGAACCCAUCAACAACCCAACUUAACUAGUUACAACUAACUAAAAACUAACCAUAAGAUGGAAGGAAAAUAAGAGUUUUGAGAAUUACCUUCCCUCACAAGAAAUCAGGUUCUAAAUCACCAAGAAUCUCUCCCCCUUCAGGUCUCCUACUAAGCUUGAGGAUGAUCCAAGAGAAUAGGCUAGGUUAGAGCAAGAUUUAGGGAGCAAAAAGAAAGAAGAUGAAG
rnacentral:lncRNA from 1 species